UACGUAGGGUGCAAGCGUUGUCCGGAAUUAUUGGGCGUAAAGAGCUUGUAGGCGGUUUGUCGCGUCUGCUGUGAAAUUUCGGGGCUCAACCCCGAACUUGCAGUGGGUACGGGCAGACUAGAGUGUGGUAGGGGAGACUGGAAUUCCUGGUGUAGCGGUGAAAUGCGCAGAUAUCAGGAGGAACACCGGUGGCGAAGGCGGGUCUCUGGGCCGAUACUGACGCUGAGGCACGAAGGUCAGGGGAGCAAACGGG
rnacentral:rRNA from 1 species